UACCAUGUUUUACAUCAGUGGCAGGAUGCCUCUGCAGUACCUGUACCUUCUUCGUUCUUUGGCAAUUUAAAUUUACAGAGAGAGAGAGAGAGAGAGAGAGCCAAAAGCUACAGGGAUCGAUGCAUGCCAUGACAGAUCUCAUGUGCGAUGCAUACAUAUAGAUCCUUUCCCUUGCAAUCUGUCAACAAUGUGUGACCACCAACCAAGCUCUGCAGAGGACAGCCAUCAAGAAUUUCUUCUCUAGUUCUGUUCACUUGGAUCGAAUACAGUGAAGAAGCGAAAAAAGGUGAACCAUGGAGGCACACAUGAGAAGAAGACAUAUCAUAUACUUUGGUUGAUCUGCCUGGCUCCCUGAAUGCCGUCUAUGAAUCACACCAGAGGGGCUGGUGUGCUUACUAGAUGGCAUCAAGGGAGCCAUGCAGGUCAGACUGCAGCUUGGACGUCUGCCAUGAAGGUGAGUGUUAAAUUAAAACUGCAAUUCCUUUAGAAGCAUUCAUUGCUUUAAACCUGUAUAUGUGCUGCUAUUGUGUCUGGCUAUGGGGAUCUCCAUGAUUGACAAGAGAAACGGUCGAUGCCACGAGAGAACUUAUGUGUGGUCUAACUUGGGUCAUAAUGUCAAAGGAGAAGUGGGGAGGCUUCAGCAACCCAAAGUGUUCCAGAGAAAGGUGAUCUGUCUGUGAGAAGUGCAAAAUAAUGGCAGCAUCCUGGCUGAAGAACCAGAUCACUUAAUGGACUUUGCUUCUGCUAGGGAGAUCCGCUGCCAUGUGAUCCAAUAAUCAGGAACAUGUAUGACGAUGAAGAGUUUGUUUACCUCAAUGCGUUCUCACUGUUUACCAGAUGCUCGUCGCUUCCAGGGUUCUGCAAGCAAUUGCAUGACCUUCAACUCUUAUCGUCACUGAAAUUUCGAAAAUUUCCUUAAAAGCUAUGGAUUUCAUUGGUGAAGAUCGGUUUUUAAUGGCUGAAAUUCGUCUUGCAUAUCCUAAACUUAUUUCCGGCCUAAGUUAAAAGGAAUUUCGAAAAUUAGUCUUGCUUUUACUCUUCUUUUCUUUCAAUUUGUACUUAAGUGUCGAGUCGCAUGAAACGGACAAUGAUUAAUCCAGAUUCUUCCGCGUCCAACAUCAUUUAUUCAAAGGCACUUUCGGCACACGCCGCAUGUCACGGAAGUUCGAUCAUUGAGUUCGCAUUUCUAUAAAUUGAAUAUAUAUCCAUUUGCAAAGCUUCAAAAGUAAAAUUACAAUGAAGAUCCAACUUUUAACCUUAAUCCAGAGUACAGGUUUCGCGUUUAUGAUUGUCCUUGAUAUGCGUCUGCCAUUUAAGACAACUGCGGAAUAGUAGCUUCAGCCUUCAGUUUAAGGGGAUGAUCAACUCGGAAAUGAUCAUCUUGGAACCAGUACAGAGUUGUUCGUACGAAUGGUUCUCUUGCAUGUAUAAAUGGCAAGCGUGAGUUGUAAAGGCUGUCAAGUUGAAGACCCUGCUUCAAGACGCAGUUGUGUCGUUUUGCAGCAAGCUCAGCUUUCUCAGCGCGUUCUUUGUAAGGCAUAGAUGCAUGGUGAGGCUCCCCCGAUGUUCUAAUUAUUCUAAAGAAGUGACUUGUAUUGAAUUUUGAUGUUUUCAUUGUGAUUCAUAACAGUUGUUUUGUAAGGCAGAGAUGCAUGUUGAGGAGGUUCAUAAAACUAAA